GACGAACGCUGGCGGCGUGCCUAAUACAUGCAAGUCGAACGAGAGCACCCGGUGCUUGCACUGGUCAAUCUAGUGGCGAACGGGUGAGUAACACGUGGGUAACCUGCCCAUCAGAGGGGGAUAACAUCCGGAAACGGAUGCUAAAACCGCAUAGGUCUUCGAACCGCAUGGUUUGAAGAGGAAAAGAGGCGCAAGCUUCUGCUGAUGGAUGGACCCGCGGUGCAUUAGCUAGUUGGUGAGGUAACGGCUCACCAAGGCCGUGAUGCAUAGCCGACCUGAGAGGGUGAUCGGCCACAUUGGGACUGAGACACGGCCAAAACUACUACGGGAGGCAGCAGUAGGGAAUCUUACGCAAUGGACGCAAGUCUGACGGAGCAACGCCGCGUGAGUGAAGAAGGUUUUCGGAUCGUAAAACUCUGUUGUUAGAGAAGAACAAGUGCUAGAGUAACUGUUAGCGCCUUGACGGUAUCUAACCAGAAAGCCACGGCUAACUACGUG
rnacentral:rRNA from 1 species